rnacentral:misc_RNA from 1 species
AUGCGCAACGCCGAACCGUUUGAGAACACGGUUCCGCUGGAGGACGCCUCACAGGUCGAGAGACACCACACAAGUGUUUUCCGGGGACACGGAUACGGUGUAGCGUUUACAGUGGCGUACGGGUUUCACAGCUGCGCUGCGUCCGCAACGCCAUCACCUGCGGUCGGUUAAGCGCUCAAGCCCAGUCCCUCGGCGGGCUCACGACAAAAGCCAACCAAACUGGUACGUUGCUGCGAGGCACCUGCCUCACCCGCCAGGCACCCUGCAUUUCGAGCGACUGUAAAGGCCUGGUGAUGAGGAUCGGCGUACCGCGGUACGCCGAGCAGGGACAGCUACUGGCACCUCACAGGGGCAUGGCCUCGUUCCCAGUCCACGGGGCGGCACUGCCGUAGUCGCUGGAUGCGAGCGCCUCUGUGCGACUUGGCUUUCUGCGACUGGGGCCGCCACUGCGCUGAAACCGGCCCACGGGGCACGACUCCUGGCUCCGAGACAACCUGGGUCCUCGUUCAUUGACCCGUGCGGGACGUUUCCCCGUACGCUGCGCCAGCGCCGCCUUCGGGGCGUGACCAGUGCGAUGACUCUGGCGGCGCCCUGUUGAACGCUGCCCGUUCUUCCGAUGGAUGCACGUCGCCGACUUCGCUGGACUGUCGAUGGACGCAGAGCGAGCACCAACAACUGUUACAUCAUCACCGGAAUCUAUGGAAUCCUCGUCGGAUAACAGUACUCCGGGAGCGCUGGCACUCGCAGUUGGGUGCGCAUGUCGACUCGAUGCGCCAGGCAGCGCGUCGCGAGGCAACAUGCCGUCGCCAGAUAUCACAGCAGAGUCGCUUUGGUCGCCAUGAAUGGCUUGCCAAACGAGGGCAUCGGGGACCUGGCGAUCGGGAUUACGAGAACGGCGCCGUAGAGCUGCAAGUUCUGUCAAACUCUUUGGUGCUAUACGCACAAUGCUGUCGAUCUCUGUUGUCGAAAGGGCUGAGUCUGCCCGCAGGCCCUUGUGCUGCUUACACCAGCUUCGGCGGAGCUCCAGAAGACGAUUUCGAACUGAUUCUGCGUGCGACUUGGUGGUGUUCCCGAUCGAUACCGAAUCAUUGGUGUCUUCUGGGAAGGCAUCGGUGGCACCUGUUGCAGAUGCGACGCCCCGCUUGCGUCCUGAAGUAGCGCGCACCAUCUCUGAACGCAGCCGGAUCGCCUGAAGGCCGUGCUUGCCCCGUCGAACAAGCAGAUAAAUACGCCGUUCGUUACCGUAUAGUAAAUCGUGCACAAUCGGAGACUGGCUCCCCGGUACUGGACGCAAACAACCGCAGACGCCACCGUGCACUUCGUUGUGGUAGACCUCUUCAUGGAGAAUGUGCAGUCGCUCCAUCUCCGCGAGUAGACGAAAGAUGUCAUUGUCGUUGGCACCAGGCGGGGCGCUCCCGAAACCCGGUAUAUCCACGUCCGGUGAAGCGCCUACGGUAGUACGAAAGGAUUCGAAACCUCGCAGACCAGAGGCGAUCCUGGCCGAAGUUGGCGUUAUCCGCCGCACGUCCUGCAUCCAUUGCGCCAGUUGGUACGCACCGCGGGCCGUAGCCGUCCAGUCUUCCAUUUGACAGGGAGCCUGGUUCCGACAGUUAUCGCACGGCGGACUGCACGCUCGACGAUCGAAGCGUUCGCCAAAGUGAGCCAACACUGUCACGCGCCGGCAACUGACGUCGUCGAGACACCAGGCCGCCAUUCUCUUGACAGCGUCUUUCUGAAGCGAUAGCGCCGCUCUCGUGAGACCGUUCGAGUUCUUGUCGAUCAUGCCGAUCAGCCGCCGCUGAUCCGCAUGAGAGAAGAGUACAAUAGAGCGGGCGGGCUGACCGUCGCGCCCAGCGCGCCCGCUUUCCUGAUAGAAGCCCUCAACAUUCUUUGGCAUGGUGUAGUGAAUGACAAAGCGCACAUCCGGCUUAUCGAUGCCCAUGCCAAAGGCAAUGGUGGCGACAAUGACCUGCGUGGCCCGCCUCAUCCAACGUUGCUGGACCGCAAUGCGACUCUCGUCCGUGAGACCAGCGUGGUAGUGCUCCGCUGCGAUGCGAAACUGGCGUCGCAAUGCUUUCGCUACAUCCUCACACUCUUGCUUACUAAAACAGUAGAUAAUGCCUGAAGCACCGCGCGGCAUUUC